rnacentral:piRNA from 1 species
AUAGACAACAGACUGUGAACAAGAGUGA